CAGCCGCCGCGGGAAUACGUAGGUCCCGAGCGUUGUCCGGAUUUAUUGGGCGUAAAGCGAGCGCAGGCGGUUAGAUAAGUCUGAAGUUAAAGGCUGUGGCUUAACCAUAGUACGCUUUGGAAACUGUUUAAUUUGAGUGCAAGAGGGGAGAGUGGAAUUCCAUGUGUAGCGGUGAAAUGCGUAGAUAUAUGGAGGAACACCGGUGGCGAAAGCGGCUCUCUGGCUUGUAACUGACGCUGAGGCUCGAAAGCGUGGGGAGCAAACAGGAUUAGAUACCCGUGUAGUCCCUGUCUCUUAUACA
rnacentral:rRNA from 1 species